AUGAUUUUUAAUUAUAACUUAAUAUCUUUACAUAUUAUUAUAAAGUUUUUUAUUUAUUCUUAUUAUAUUAUAUAUAUAAUAAAAUCAAUGUUCUUAUGGCCAGUAUUGAGAUACCACCUGGUUUGAAGACGGGUUGCUUCCACCCACCACCGCUUCCACCGCCUUACUCUAACACUAUAGUAUAUUAGUAUAGUAUAUGCGUUUUCCUCUUUUCAUCCACAAUUUUUCUGUCACCACUUCUUGCAUUGAUUUCCAAAAAAAAACCUUUUAUUCAUCUCUUUUGCCCUGUCACUCCACAAUACGCACCGCUUCCUACUUCUUUCUCUAUCUCGACGAGAAUCAGUCUUUCAAGGAAGCGUCGUCGUCGAUCGGGAUCGGAAUCGGUUUUUUUCGUCGAAAUUCGAUCACCUCUAUCCAAUAUCCAAUAUCAAGUUCUAUUGUUCUUAAAUUUUGAUGUUGAUUGGAUAUGUCGCUUUUGUUACCCAUGUAAUGAUUAUUAAGAAAUGAAUUUCAGUGACUUUUCCAGCCUUCAUUUAGCCGAUCUUUUUGCUAUAUUAUCAAAUGAAUCUCAUCGAUAGCAUCCCCGAAGAUCAAUUUCAAUUUCAAGGGUACAAAAGUUCCUUCGAUCGGUUUUCAUUUAACUCAUUUUGUACUUUUUCGUCCUUCAUGAUUUGCUACCGUAUGAUUCAAGUUUAUUAUGAAUUCAAAUGGAUUAUUUUAGUGUGAUUGCCAAAUAACGUGGACAUCUUACAUAAGGAUUAUGCUUGAAUAACUUGAUUUGGGGUUAGGCAUUCCUUCUCAUAUGGUUAUAUGACAUUAUAUAUGAUGAAUCCGGUACGUGGUUGUAAAGUGCAGCAAAAUCUAUAAUUUGUUCUAAAAAAUAUCUGCCUUUUCAUAUUAAAUUUGAUGUUAUUAAAAUAACUCAGCUGAAAUUGUUUAGUACCUAAAGGAGGUAAUACGUGGUUGUUGUGAUUUGUUGUUUCUUUGCUACUUCCGUAUUAGACAACCCAACUGUUUGGUAAAAUGCUUGAAAGAAGGUUUUCAUCUUUUUAUAAAAAUUCAUUACCUCUUAGAUAGGUGGAACUUCAAGUGGUGAGCAGUAUUUGGGAAAUUCUACUAAUAUAGAACUGCAACCAGGGAUGCUAUGCUUUGUCAACAGGUAUGUUUUGAUGUGCAUUAUGUCAAAGAAUGCGUACCUGUAACUGACGCUAAGAGAGGAGAGCAGAAAUGAAGACUUCAAAAAUUGUUUGGUCCAAUUACAACGCAUCAAAGGAUAUGACUAUAUAAGGUUGUGCCAUUUUUGUUGAGCAUCUAUGGUUAUUUGUGAUAAUAUUUGUAAUGAAUAUUUAAUUUUGAUGAUUAGGGAACCAUGUAAAAGGAUUUUCAGUUAUGUAAUAUAUCUAUAAAAAUCUAUGUAACUAUU